rnacentral:rRNA from 1 species
AUUGAACGCUGGCGGCAGGCCUAACACAUGCAAGUCGAGCGGAGCGGCGGACGGGUGAGUAAUGCCUAGGAAUCUGCCUGGUAGUGGGGGAUAACGUCCGGAAACGGGCGCUAAUACCGCAUACUAUCAGAUGAGCCUAGGUCGGAUUAGCUAGUUGGUGGGGUAAAGGCCUACCAAGGCGAAGAUCCGUAACUGGUCUGAUAGGAUGAUCAGUCACACUGGAACUGAGACACGGUCCAGACUCCUAAGGGAGGCAGCAGUGGGGAAUAUUGGACAAGGGGCGAAAGCCUGAUCCAGCCAUGCCGCGUGUGUGAAGAAUGUCUUCGGGUUGUAAAGCACUUUAAGUUGGGAGGAGGGAAAAAAAGAAUAAGCACCGGCUAACUUCGUGCCAGCAGCCGCGGUAAUAG